rnacentral:rRNA from 1 species
GAUGAACGCUGGCGGCGUGCCUAAUACAUGCGAGUCGAGCGAACGGACGAGAAGCUUGCUUCUCUGAUGUUAGCGGCGGACGGGUGAGUAACACGUGGAUAACCUACCUAUAAGACUGGGAUAACUUCGGGAAACCGGAGCUAAUACCGGAUAAUAUUUUGAACCGCAUGGUUCAAAAGUGAAAGACGGUCUUGCUGUCACUUAUAGAUGGAUCCGCGCUGCAUUAGCUAGUUGGUAAGGUAACGGCUUACCAAGGCAACGAUGCAUAGCCGAUCUGAGAGGGUGAUCGGCCACACUGGAACUGAGACACGGUCCAGACUCCUACGGGAGGCAGCAGUAGGGAAUAUUCCGCAAUGGGCGAAAGCCUGACGGAGCAACGCCGCGUGAGUGAUGAAGGUCUUCGGAUCGUAAAACUCUGUUAUCAGGGAAGAACAUAUGUGUAAGUAACUGUGCACAUCUUGACGGUACCUAAUCAGAAAGCCACGGCUAACUACGUG